rnacentral:rRNA from 1 species
AUUGAACGCUGGCGGAAUGCUUUACACAUGCAAGUCGAACGGCAGCACGGACUUCGGUCUGGUGGCGAGUGGCGAACGGGUGAGUAAUGUAUCGGAACGUGCCCAGUCGUGGGGGAUAACGUAGUGAAAAUUACGCUAAUACCGCAUACGAUCUAUGGAUGAAAGCGGGGGAUCGCAAGACCUCGCGCGAUUGGAGCGGCCGAUAUCAAAUUAGGUAGUUGGUGGGGAAAAGGCCCACCAAGCCAACGAUCGGUAGCUGGUCUGAGAGGACGACCAGCCACACUGGAACGGAGACACGGUCCAGACUCCUACGGGAGGCAGCAGUGGGGAAUUUUGGACAAUGGGCGAAAGCCUGAUCCAGCCAUUCCGCGUGCAGGAUGAAGGCCCUCGGGUUGUAAACUGCUUUUGUACAGAACGAAAAGGUUUCUACUAAUACUAGGAGCUCAUGACGGUACUGUAAGAAUAAGCACCGGCUAACUACGUGCCAGCCGCCGCAGUAA